rnacentral:rRNA from 1 species
UACGUAGGGUGCGAGCGUUAAUCGGAAUUACUGGGCGUCAAGCGUGCGCAGGCGGUUUUGCAAGCCGGAUGUGAAAUCCCCGGGCUUAACCUGGGAAUGGCAUUUGGGACUGCAAGGCUGGAGUGCGGCAGAGGAGACUGGAAUUCCUGGUGUAGCAGUGAAAUGCGUAGAUAUCAGGAGGAACACCGAUGGCGAAGGCAGGUCUCUGGGCUGACACUGACGCUCAGGCACGAAAGCGUGGGGAGCAAACAGG